GACCACCAGGGAUGCCCUAGUACGGCGAGUGAAGCGGCAACAGCUCAAAUUUGAAAUCUGGCUCUUUCAGGGUCCGAGUUGUAAUUUGCAGAGGGUGCUUUGGUGUUGGCGGCGGUCUAAGUUCCUUGGAACAGGACAUCGCAGAGGGUGAGAAUCCCGUAUGUGGUCGCCUGCCUUCGCCGUGUAAAGCCCCUUCGACGAGUCGAGUUGUUUGGGAAUGCAGCUCUAAAUGGGAGGUAAAUUUCUUCUAAAGCUAAAUACCGGCCAGAGACCGAUAGCGCACAAGUAGAGUGAUCGAAAGAUGAAAAGCACUUUGGAAAGAGAGUCAAACAGCACGUGAAAUUGUUAAAAGGGAAGCGCUUGCAGCCAGACUUGCCUGCAGUUGUUCGCCUGGGCUUUUGCCCGGGUUACUCUUCUGCAGGCAGGCCAGCAUCAGUUUGGGCGGUCGGAUAAAGGUCCCUGACACGUAUCUCCCUUCGGGGUUAACAUAUAGGGGGGACGUAAUGCGACCAGCCCGGACUGAGGUCCGCGCAUCUGCUAGGAUGCUGGCGUAAUGGCUGUAAGCGGCCCGUCUUGAAACACGGACCAAGGAGUCUAACAUCUAUGCGAGUGUUUGGGUGUCAAGCCCGAGCGCGUAAUGAAAGUGAACGGAGGUGGGAACCCCUCGGGGCGCACCAUCGACCGAUCCUGAUGUCUUCGGAUGGAUUUGAGUAAGAGCAUAGCUGUUGGGACCCGAAAGAUGGUGAACUAUGCUUGAAUAGGGUGAAGCCAGAGGAAACUCUGGUGGAGGCUCGCAGCGGUUCUGACGUGCAAAUCGAUCGUCAAAUUU
rnacentral:rRNA from 1 species